rnacentral:lncRNA from 1 species
AUGGCCAGUACAGUGGUAGCAGUCGGACUGACCAUUGCUGCUGCAGGAUUUGCAGGCUGUUAUGUUUUGCAACCCUUAUAUAAGGCAUGUGGAACCUCAAGUAAAAUUUUUCAAAGUCUACCAAAAUCUGCCUUCAGUGGUGGCUAUUACAGAGGUAUGUUUGAACCCGAAACGACAAAAUGGAAAGCAGCAUUAAUAGUAGCUGUAAGCACUACUGCCAAUAAAGAGAAAAUAAGAGGUGCUCAUUGACAAAUGAUGCUCUUAAAUCAUCCAGGUAGAUCUUCUGCUAUCAUAACCAAAAAUAAAUGGAGCAAAAGAUUUACUAGAAUGUCAAGCUAAAAAAU